UGCAGGAGGUGAUAGCUGUGGGCACCUUUGGCCUGUUUCAGACACCGUUUGACCUUGGGGAGAAAUGAAGCAUUUCAACCGCAAUACAGUAAUUAUCCAGAGGAAAGACGCUGUUCCUAUCACACGUUCAUCUCCCACGCGGAAGUGCACACACCACGAAGGCCACAACUGAAGGACACUCCUUGAUACUUCUCUUCAGCAUCUCAAUCAGCAGCCACCUUCUUUUUUUAUGAGGCUGGGAUCCUUUUAAGACGUAGCCCAUCAGCUCUUGAAUGUCUACCUGCUGAUGUCUAUCAGGUAACCUCCAUGUUAUUUCAAGCUGAAGGAUUUUGA
rnacentral:lncRNA from 1 species